GAGAGUUUGAUUCUGGCUCAGGAUGAACGCUGGCGGCGUGGAUAAGGCAUGCAAGUCAAGGGGGUUUUGGGAGCAAUUUCAAAACAACCGGCGAACGAGUUAGUAACACCUUGGUACAUAACCUAAAGUCGGGCACAACCCCGCGAAAGCGGAGCUAAUUCCCGAUGUUGAAGCAAUUCCAAAGGAGCAAUCCGCUUUGGGAGUGGCCUAGGUCCUAUCAGCUUGUUGGCGGGGUAAAAGCCCACCAAGGCUAUGACGGGUAGGGGGCGUGAGAGCGCGUUCCUCAACGACGACACUGAGAUACGGGUCGUACACCUACGGGUGGCAGCAGUCAAGAACAUUCGACAAUGGGCGAAAGCCUGAUCGAGCGACGCCGCGUGCAGGAAGAAGUCCUUCGGGAUGUAAACUGCUUUUGCGUAGGAAAAAUUUUGAUUGUACUACAAGAAUAAGGGGUUGCUAACCUCGUGCCAGCAGCAGCGGUAAUACGAGGACCCCGAGCGUUAUCCGGAAUUACUGGGCAUAAAGAGCGAGUAGCCGGUUUUGUUAGUCUGAUGUUAAAUUCCGAGGCUUAACUUCGGAGCCGCAUCGGAAACGGCAAGAGUCCAGCUCAAAGUUAUUUUCUAAGACGAAAUUGAAAUAUUUGAGACGAAAUAAAGAAAAAAUUUUAAGGCAUAGCCUUGGGCGCUAUACUGAAAAAUUUUUCCAAAGUUGCAAUCCAAAUAUUUUAAUUGCAGUCAGAAAGAUAAUUUCGAGUUGGACUCCUUGAACUAGAGCAGGUAAGAGGUAAGCGGAACGUGCGGUGUAGGGGUGAAAUCCAUUGAUAUCGCACGGAACACCAAAAGCGAAGGCAGCUUACUGGUGCUUUGCUGACGGUCAAUCGCGAAAGCGUGGGCAUAAAAAAGGAUUAGAUACCCUUGUAUUCCACGCCCUAAACUAUGCUGACUAGCUAUUGGGAGCAUCGACCCUUCCAGUGGCGUAGCUAAUGCGUUAAGUCAGCCGCCUGGGAAGUACGAGCGCAAGCUUAAAACUUAAAGAAAUAGGCGGGAAUUCGCACAAGCGGUGGAUCAUGUGGUUUAAUUCGACACUGAGCGAAGAACCUCACCAAGGCUUGAAAUCCUAGUGUAAGCUCCGGGAAACCGGGGCCCCCGCAAGGCUCUAGGACAGGUGCUGCACGGCUGAACUAUCGGCCGGUAGGGGAGCAAUUCCCUACAAAAAUAACCAGCUCAUAACGGUGGAGUCCGAAAUAUAUUAAUGUUAAAAUUAAUAUAUGGAUAAUACCGUGGGAAGCCCGAAUACAAGUUUUUGUAACUUUCCGAAAUCAACUCAAGAUUAUUAUAUUCUUGGCCUUUGGUGCGCUGAUGGCUACCACUGGACAAGCAGUAUAGGAUUGAGCAAUAUUGAUUUAAUUUUAAUUAAGAAAUUUAGAAAUUUUCUUUCAGGAUUAUUUCCUAAAGAAAGAAUUAAAUUGGAUCAAUACAGAACAGGAAAGAGAAAAUAUGUUGGAUAUAAGAUUUAUGUAAAUUGCAGGCCGUUAUUAAGAAUUUUUAAAAAAUUCAAAGACAAUAAUAACGAGAGGAGUAUAAAUAAUGCCGAAGCAAUAAAAGCUUAUAUCGCAGGAAGAUUUGAUGGCGAUGGUUGUAUAUCUAAAGACCUAAAACGAGAUUGCAGAAUAUCUUAUGGAAAUGAGAUUGAUGCAAAACUUGACACCAAUUUAUUACAAGAAAUUGGCAUUAUGCCCAAACUAUACAGAUAUCGCACAUCAAAUACAUUUGUAAUUUAUAUUUCUAGAUUUGAUACUAAAAAAUUUACAAAUGUAAUCAGUCCAUAUUCAAUAAAGUUACAAAAACUUGUACUUGGGUCCCGUAGAGACUCUGACUAUACAGAGAUAGUCAGGAUGGCAACAAAUAAUAUAUAAUAUUGCCAUAAAACGCUGGCUCCCUCCCCAAGCAUGGAGAGGGAUGAAAGUAUAGUCCGUACCAUUAGGAAUAAUGGAAUAAUACGGUCGUCAGCUCGUCUCGUGAGAGGUUUCCUUAAGUGGAUUAACGAGCGCAACCCCUAUCGUCUGUUAUAUUUGUCAGGCGAGACUGCUUUCGUAAGGAAGAGGAAGGUGGGGAUGACGUCAAGUCAGCGUGGCCCUCUGAUGUCUUGGGCUACACACAUGAUACAAUGGAUGUUACAAUGGGUUGCCAACCCGCGAGGGGGAGCUAAUCCCAUCAAAGGCAUCCUCAGUUCGGAUAGGAGGCUGAAACUUGCCUCCUUGAAGCCGGAAUCGCUAGUAAUCGCAGAUCAGAACGCUGCGGUGAAUACGUUCUCGAAUUUUGCACUCACAAUAAAAGCGCUCGGCAGGUUUCUUUUCUAAACGGUUAAAAUCCGUUCCUCCGACAACCCGUGUUGGAGCGUAGUCAAAAGUUAGUCCCGAUCCGCGAGGAUUGAGGACGAAGGAACUAAAGACAAAAAGCAGUCCCACGAUAAAACACCCUGAAUUGACCUAUGAUUGGCAGUGAGCAUAGGGAAAAUUCCUUGAAAGGGGCCGCGGGAAUGCAAGGAAUAGAAAAGCAACUAACCCGAGGAGAUCUGGCGUAAAGCAAUUUAUGCGCUUUGCAUAGUUUGCUAAAAUGGCAUAAUAGAUUUGACGCCGCGUCAGAAGUCAGCUGAAUCAUAGUAAUCCAAUCGGAUGAAGGAUUCACUCCAAUGCAAAAUGCUUACACCAGAUUAUAUAAUUGGAUUAACAGACGGAGAAGGAAGCUUUACGGUUUAUCUUCGAAAUCCCGAAAAUCCAAUUAAAAAGAAAAGGCGAGUAUACGCAGAGCCAAGAUUCUAUAUAAAACUUAUAGAGAAAGACAAGGAUAUUCUUUAUAGGCUUAAAAAAUUCUUUGGUUGUGGAAGCGUAUAUUUCCAAAGAGAUGUUCGACCUAAUCACCAGAAUUGUUAUCGUUACGAAGUUUAUAAUCGUAAUGAUUUGAAAAAAAUUAUAAUUCCUUUUUUCAAAAAAUAUCAUCUUAAGUUCAAUUCUAAAAAAAAUGAUUUUAAAAUAUUCUGUGAUUUGUUCGAAAGAAUUUGUAAAAAUGAGCAUCUUAAUACGGAAGGCCUGAAAUUCUUGUGUAAUCUAAAAGCAAAAAUGCAUUAGAGCUCGUCGUAUGCGGGAAAUCCGCAGGUACGAUGGGAACAUCAACUCUUAAUCUAAGAGGAUACUUGCCCGUCAAGUCAAGGGAGCUGGGAAUACCUGAAGAUCCGUAUUUUUAUAUGGAGACACGGUAGGCUCAGUGACAAGGACUAAGUCGUAACAAGGCAAGGGUAGCGGAAGCUGCUCUUGGAUCACCUCCUU
rnacentral:rRNA from 1 species